rnacentral:rRNA from 2 species
CAUGAUUUCAUUUGAGUGAGUGGCGAACUGGUGAGUAACACGUGGGAAACCUGCCCAGAAGCGGGGGAUAACACCUGGAAACAGAUGCUAAUACCGCAUAACAACUUGGACCGCAUGGUCCGAGCUUGAAAGAUGGCUUCGGCUAUCACUUUUGGAUGGUCCCGCGGCGUAUUAGCUAGAUGGUGGGGUAACGGCUCACCAUGGCAAUGAUACGUAGCCGACCUGAGAGGGUAAUCGGCCACAUUGGGACUGAGACACGGCCCAAACUCCUACGGGAGGCAGCAGUAGGGAAUCUUCCACAAUGGACGAAAGUCUGAUGGAGCAACGCCGCGUGAGUGAAGAAGGGUUUCGGCUCGUAAAACUCUGUUGUUAAAGAAGAACAUAUCUGAGAGUAACUGUUCAGGUAUUGACGGUAUUUAACCAGAAAGCCACGGCUAACUACGUGCCAGCAGCCGCGGUAAUACGUAGGUGGCAAGCGUUGUCCGGAUUUAUUGGGCGUAAAGCGAGCGCAGGCGGUUUUUUAAGUCUGAUGUGAAAGCCUUCGGCUCAACCGAAGAAGUGCAUCGGAAACUGGGAAACUUGAGUGCAGAAGAGGACAGU